UUGAUACUCCCUCCGUCCAAAAAUACUUGUCGUAUAGAUGGAUAAAAAUGGAUGUAUGUAGAACUAAUAAACGUCUACGUACAUUCAUUUUCCCGACAAGUAUUUCCGAACGAAGGAGUACUAU
rfam:Triticum aestivum genome assembly, contig: Triticum_aestivum_CS42_TGACv1_scaffold_030691_1BL